rnacentral:rRNA from 1 species
UUGAAGAGUUUGAUCAUGGCUCAGAUUGAACGCUGGCGGCAGGCCUAACACAUGCAAGUCGAACGGUAACAGGAAGCAGCUUGCUGCUUUGCUGACGAGUGGCGGACGGGUGAGUAAUGUCUGGGAAACUGCCUGAUGGAGGGGGAUAACUACUGGAAACGGUAGCUAAUACCGCAUAAUGUCGCAAGACCAAAGAGGGGGACCUUCGGGCCUCUUGCCAUCGGAUGUGCCCAGAUGGGAUUAGCUUGUAGGUGGGGUAACGGCUCACCUAGGCGACGAUCCCUAGCUGGUCUGAGAGGAUGACCAGCCACACUGGAACUGAGACACGGUCCAGACUCCUACGGGAGGCAGCAGUGGGGAAUAUUGCACAAUGGGCGCAAGCCUGAUGCAGCCAUGCCGCGUGUAUGAAGAAGGCCUUCGGGUUGUAAAGUACUUUCAGCGGGGAGGAAGGGAGUAAAGUUAAUACCUUUGCUCAUUGACGUUACCCGCAGAAGAAGCACCGGCUAACUCCGUGCCAGCAGCCGCGGUAAUACGGAGGGUGCAAGCGUUAAUCGGAAUUACUGGGCGUAAAGCGCACGCAGGCGGUUUGUUAAGUCAGAUGUGAAAUCCCCGGGCUCAACCUGGGAACUGCAUCUGAUACUGGCAAGCUUGAGUCUCGUAGAGGGGGGUAGAAUUCCAGGUGUAGCGGUGAAAUGCGUAGAGAUCUGGAGGAAUACCGGUGGCGAAGGCGGCCCCCUGGACGAAGACUGACGCUCAGGUGCGAAAGCGUGGGGAGCAAACAGGAUUAGAUACCCUGGUAGUCCACGCCGUAAACGAUGUCGACUUGGAGGUUGUGCCCUUGAGGCGUGGCUUCCGGAGCUAACGCGUUAAGUCGACCGCCUGGGGAGUACGGCCGCAAGGUUAAAACUCAAAUGAAUUGACGGGGGCCCGCACAAGCGGUGGAGCAUGUGGUUUAAUUCGAUGCAACGCGAAGAACCUUACCUGGUCUUGACAUCCACGGAAGUUUUCAGAGAUGAGAAUGUGCCUUCGGGAACCGUGAGACAGGUGCUGCAUGGCUGUCGUCAGCUCGUGUUGUGAAAUGUUGGGUUAAGUCCCGCAACGAGCGCAACCCUUAUCCUUUGUUGCCAGCGGUCCGGCCGGGAACUCAAAGGAGACUGCCAGUGAUAAACUGGAGGAAGGUGGGGAUGACGUCAAGUCAUCAUGGCCCUUACGACCAGGGCUACACACGUGCUACAAUGGCGCAUACAAAGAGAAGCGACCUCGCGAGAGCAAGCGGACCUCAUAAAGUGCGUCGUAGUCCGGAUUGGAGUCUGCAACUCGACUCCAUGAAGUCGGAAUCGCUAGUAAUCGUGGAUCAGAAUGCCACGGUGAAUACGUUCCCGGGCCUUGUACACACCGCCCGUCACACCAUGGGAGUGGGUUGCAAAAGAAGUAGGUAGCUUAACCUUCGGGAGGGCGCUUACCACUUUGUGAUUCAUGACUGGGGUGAAGUCGUAACAAGGUAACCGUAGGGGAACCUGCGGUUGGAUCACCUCCUU